UACGGAGGGAGCUAGCGUUGUUCGGAAUUACUGGGCGUAAAGCGCACGUAGGCGGCUUUGUAAGUAAGAGGUGAAAGCCUGGAGCUCAACUCCAGAAUAGCCUUUUAGACUGCAUCGCUUGAAUCCGGGAGAGGUGAGUGGAAUUCCGAGUGUAGAGGUGAAAUUCGUAGAUAUUCGGAAGAACACCGGUGGCGAAGGCGGCUCACUGGACCGGUAUUGACGCUGAGGUGCGAAAGCGUGGGGAGCAAACAGG
rnacentral:rRNA from 1 species